rnacentral:rRNA from 1 species
CGCAGCCGCGGUAAUUCCAGCUCCAAUAGCGUAUAUUAAAGUUGUUGCAGUUAAAAAGCUCGUAGUUGAAUUUCGGGGUCAGUAGAUUGGUCGUGCCACUGGUAUGUACUGGUCUCACUGGCUCCUCCUUCCUGAUGAACCGUAAUGCCAUUAAUUUGGUGUUGCGGGGAGACUGGACUGUUACUUUGAAAAAAUUAGAGUGUUUAAAGCAGGCUAACGCUUGAAUACAUUAGCAUGGAAUAAUGAAAUAGGACGUUCGAUCUUAUUUUGUUGGUUUCUAAGAUUGACGUAAUGAUUAAUAGGGAUAGUUGGGGGCAUUAGUAUUCAAUUGUCAGAGGUGAAAUUCUUGGAUUUAUUGAAGACUAACUACUGCGAAAGCAUUUGCCAAGGAUGUUUUCAUUAAUCAAGAACGAAAGUUAGGGGAUCGAAGACGAUCAGAUACCGUCGUAGUCUUAACCAUAAACUAUGCCGACUAGGGAUCGGAUGAUGUUAAUUUUUUAAUGACUCAUUCGGCGCCUUA